rnacentral:tRNA from 3 species
GAGAAAGACAUAGUGGUUAUGGGGUUGGCUUGAAACCAGUCUUUGGGGGUUCGAAUCCUUCCUUUCUUA